GUGCACCAGUCGCGAAAACUCCGCAAUACGCGAAAGCGUGACGGGGCCAUCCCGAGUGCCGUCCGCUGAGGAUGGCUUUUCCCCAGUGUAGACAGCUGGGGGAAUAAGGAGAGGGCAAGUCUGGUGUCAGCCGCCGCGGUAAUACCAGCUCUUCGAGUGGUAGGGAUGUUUAUUGGGCCUGAAGCAUCCGUAGCCGGCUGGACAAGUUCUCCGUUAAAUCCAGCGAUUUAAUCGUUGGAUUGCGGGGGAUACUGUUCGGCUUGGGUGCGAGAGAGGCCGACGGUAUUCUUGGGGUAGGGGUAAAAUCCUAUAAUCCCGAGAGGACCACCAGUGGCGAAGGCUGUCGGCGAGAACGCGCCCGACGGUGAGGGAUGAAAGCUGGGGGAGCGAACCGGAUUAGAUACCCGCGUAGUCC
rnacentral:rRNA from 1 species